rnacentral:rRNA from 1 species
UACGGAGGGUGCGAGCGUUGUCCGGAAUCAUUGGGCGUAAAGCGCGCGUAGGCGGCCCGGUAAGUCCGCUGUAAAAGUCAGAGGCUCAACCUUUGAAUGUCAGUGGAUACUGCCGGGCUAGAGUCCGGAAGAGGCGAGUGGAAUUCCUGGUGUAGCGGUGGAAUGCGCAGUUAUCAGGAGGAACACCGACGGCGAAGGCAGCUCGCUGGGACGGUACUGACGCUGAGGCGCGAAAGCGUGGGGAGCGAACAGG